UACGGGGGGAGCAAGCGUUGUUCGGAUUUACUGGGCGUAAAGGGCGCGUAGGCGGUCAGCACAAGUCAGUUGUGAAAUCUCCGGGCUCAACUCGGAAAGGUCAACUGAUACUGUGCGACUAGAGUGCAGAAGGGGCAACUGGAAUUCUCGGUGUAGCGGUGAAAUGCGUAGAUAUCGAGAGGAACACCUGCGGCGAAGGCGGGUUGCUGGGCUGACACUGACGCUGAUGCGCGAAAGCCAGGGGAGCGAACGGG
rnacentral:rRNA from 1 species